rnacentral:tRNA from 1 species
GCCCCCGUGGCGAAAUUGGUAGACGCGAAGGACUUAAAAUCCUUUUCUGAAAGAUGAGUGCGAGUUCGAGUCUCGCCGGGGGCA